UACCCGCACCCCAAGUUAUGGUCACUAUUAUUGGGUCUAAAGCGCCCGUAGCCGGCCUAGUAAGUUCCUGGUGAAAUCUUACAGCAAACUGUAAGGCGUGCUGGGAAUACUGCUAAGCUCGAGACCGGGAGAGGGCAGAGGUACUCAUGGGGUAGGGGUGAAAUCCUAUAAUCCUAUGGGGACCACCUGUGGCGAAGGCGUCUGCCUGGAACGGGUCUGACGGUGAGGGACGAAAGCUAGGGGAGCGAUCGGG
rnacentral:rRNA from 1 species